rnacentral:rRNA from 1 species
CCUACGGGAGGCUGCAGUGGGGAAUUUUGGACAAUGGGGGCAACCCUGAUCCAGCCAUGCCGCGUGAGUGAAGAAGGCCUUCGGGUUGUAAAGCUCUUUCGGCCGGGAAGAAAUCGCAUGGGCUAAUACCCUGUGUGGAUGACGGUACCGGAAUAAGAAGCACCGGCUAACUACGUGCCAGCAGCCGCGGUAAUACGUAGGGUGCGAGCGUUAAUCGGAAUUACUGGGCGUAAAGCGUGCGCAGGCGGUUUUGUAAGACAGGCGUGAAAUCCCCGGGCUUAACCUGGGAACUGCGCUUGUGACUGCAAGGCUAGAGUACGGCAGAGGGGGGUGGAAUUCCACGUGUAGCAGUGAAAUGCGUAGAGAUGUGGAGGAACACCAAUGGCGAAGGCAGCCCCCUGGGUCGAUACUGACGCUCAUGCACGAAAGCGUGGGUAGCAAACAGGAUUAGAUACCCCGGUAGUC